CUAUUUGACUUCAACUACAAGAGAGAUGCCAAGCUGAGACCAGUUAAGCCACAGAACUCUUUCAGAAAAGUCAUAUUUUUCUCAAAUGACCUAGCUUUUACCUUCGUUAACUCACACUUGCACCCAUCUGAAGUGAAACCAGCAACCAUUUAACAGCAAACAGUAGCAGCAGCAUGCACCAAAAGAGAAUGGAAAGUGAAAAGAACACAACAGAUCAUUUUAAAAGUAGUGUGUCAAUUGCCUGGUUCUCCACUGACAGCUAAAAUUAAACAAAAAAGUGAAUUCCGUUCUACAGUGUGAACAUCUUAUGGGAACACUAGAGGAUAUCCAUAGACAGCAGGAAAAAAACAGCAAAAUAGAUAUUUUGACUCACAGAAAAUGAAUGUUUGCAAAGAUUCACCAAGAAAUAAAGUCAACCAAAAAAGCAAAGUCAUGAAAAAGAAAUGCAAAUCUCCACAAAAGGCAGCUUUUCAGGGCUAUUCCUGUCUGCACGCCCUCUGAAUAACCAUCUCAAAACAUGUUCAAGAAGUAUAUUUUGGAGGUGGCAUUGCAGAUGGGAUCUCAAAGCCAAGUCUCUACAUAUGAUACAGGCAAACAGAUGUUUUUUUUCAUCCAGUGACUACCAAAUGGAGGAAUUAUCGUCUUGAAGGGGAACGUAUCAAUCACUUAAGGAAACUAGAUGGGAGACUGAAGGUGGCAAAAGGAGAGGCAUAGCAAAUGGAAGAAGGUGUCCUAGAGUCACUCUUAAACUUUGAGAAGUUUGAGAUAUUAGGUUGGUGCAAGAGUAAUUGCAGGUUUUACCAUUACUUUUAAGAGCACAAGAACCAAACAUAUGAAUAUUUACACUAAAAAAUAAACUAGAGUUGCUUC
rnacentral:lncRNA from 1 species